rnacentral:rRNA from 1 species
GAAGGCGACAAUGUCGGAGGUGUUCCACCUGUUCCCAUACCGAACACAGAAGUGAAAUCCUCCAGAGCCGAUGGUAGUUCGCAAGAGCGAGAGUAGGUCGUCGCCUUCC